GAUGAACGCUGGCGGCGUGCCUAAUACAUGCAAGUCGAACGCUGAAGGAAGGAGCUUGCUCUUUCCGGAUGAGUUGCGAACGGGUGAGUAACGCGUAGGUAACCUGCCUGGUAGCGGGGGAUAACUAUUGGAAACGAUAGCUAAUACCGCAUAACAGUAGAUGUUGCAUGAUAUCUACUUAAAAGGUGCAAUUGCACCACUACCAGAUGGACCUGCGUUGUAUUAGCUAGUUGGUGAGGUAACGGCUCACCAAGGCGACGAUACAUAGCCGACCUGAGAGGGUGAUCGGCCACACUGGGACAGAGACACGGCCCAGACUCCUACGGGAGGCAGAAGUAGGGAAUCUUCGGCAAUGGACGGAAGUCUGACCGAGCAACGACGCGUGAGUGAAGAAGGGUUUCGAAUCGUAAAGCUAUGUUGUAAGAGAAGAACGAGUGUGAGAGUGGAAAGUUCACACUGUGACGGUAGCUUAACAGAAAGGGACGGCUAACUACGUG
rnacentral:rRNA from 1 species